UACGGGGGGGCUAGCGUUGUUCGGAAUUACUGGGCGUAAAGGGCGCGUAGGCGGCCUACUAAGUCGGACGUGAAAUCCCUCGGCUCAACCGGGAACUGCGUCCGAUACUGGUGGGCUCGAAUCCGGGAGAGGGAUGUGGAAUUCCAGGUGUAGCGGUGAAAUGCGUAGAUAUCUGGAGGAACACCGGUGGCGAAGGCGGCGAUCCGUGG
rnacentral:rRNA from 1 species